rnacentral:rRNA from 1 species
UACGGAGGGGGUUAGCGUUGUUCGGAAUGACUGGGCGUAAAGCGCGCGUAGGCGGAUCAUCAAGUCGGGGGUGAAAUCCCGGGGCUCAACCCCGGAAUGGCCUUCGAGACUGGUGGUCUUGAGUUCGAGAGAGGUGAGUGGAAUUCCGAGUGUAGAGGUGAAAUUCGUAGAUAUUCGGAGGAACACCAGUGGCGAAGGCGGCUCACUGGCUCGACACUGACGCUGAGGUGCGAAAGCGUGGGGAGCGAACAGG